rnacentral:rRNA from 1 species
UUGGGCGUAAAGAGCUCGUAGGCGGUUUGUUGCGUCGGCUGUGAAAACCUGAGGCUCAACCUCAGGCCUGCAGUCGAUACGAGCAGACUAGAGUGUUGCAGGGGAGACUGGAAUUCCUGGUGUAGCGGUGAAAUGCGCAGAUAUCAGGAGGAACACCGGUGGCGAAGGCGGGUCUCUGGGCAACAACUGACGCUGAGGAGCGAAAGCGUGGGGAGCGAACAGGAUUAGAUACCCUGGUAGUCCACGCCGUAAACGUUGGGCGCUAGGUGUGGGGCUCAUUCCACGAGUUCCGUGCCGCAGCUAACGCAUUAAGCGCCCCGCCUGGGGAGUACGGCCGCAGGGCUAAAACUCAAAGGAAUUGACGGGGGCCCGCACAAGCGGCGGAGCAUGUUGCUUAAUUCGAUGCAACGCGAAGAACCUUACCUAGGCUUGACAUGCACGGAAAUCCUCCAGAGAUGGUGGGUCCGUAAGGGCCGUGCACAGGUGGUGCAUGGUUGUCGUCAGCUCGUGUCGUGAGAUGUUGGGUUAAGUCCCGCAACGAGCGCAACCCUCGUUCUAUGUUGCCAGCACGUCAUGGUGGGGACUCAUAGGAGACUGCCGGGGUCAACUCGGAGGAAGGUGGGGAUGACGUCAAAUCAUCAUGCCCCUUAUGUCUAGGGCUGCAAACAUGCUACAAUGGCCGGUACAAAGGGCUGCGAUACCGCGAGGUGGAGCGAAUCCCAAAAAGCCGGUCUCAGUUCGGAUUGGGGUCUGCAACUCGACCCCAUGAAGUUGGAGUCGCUAGUAAUCGCAGAUCAGCAACGCU